rnacentral:rRNA from 1 species
AUGCACCGCGGCAGCGACCGCUCCGGCGACCCCUCCGGCCCCGCGGGCGGCGCUCGCAGCGGCGCGGACGGCAGAUUCGCGCGCGGACCCUCGCGCUGGUCCGGCGGCGGCGGGGGUAGCCCCCCGCCCCACCGCUCCUCCCGCGGCGGGAGCAGCGACGGCGGCGGAGGCGGAGGCGGAGGCGGGAGGUUCCAUCCGUACCGUGCGCCGUCUGAAUACGUUGUUGGCGGUGGUGGAACUGGAGGGUACAGAGGCGGCGGCGGCGGCGGCGGCGACUUCGGUGAGACGGCCGGUGGAGCGAGGAGCCGCUACGGAGGCGGUGGCGGGGGAGGCCGUGGAGACUACUCAGAUCAUGAUAACAAAAGUGGUUAUGUUAAACUUUUUGUUGGAUCAGUUCCAAGAACAGCAAAUGAAGAUGAUGUUCGACCUUUAUUCGAGGAUCAUGGAGAUGUUCUUGAAGUUGCUUUGAUCAGGGAUAGGAAAACUGGUGAACAACAAGGCUGUUGUUUUGUUAAAUAUGCUACUUCUGAAGAGGCUGAGAGAGCCAUCAGAGCUCUGCAUAACCAGUGCACUAUACCAGGGGCGAUGGGCCCUGUUCAGGUUAGAUAUGCUGAUGGUGAAAAGGAGCGUCAUGGGUCUAUUGAGCACAAAUUGUUUGUUGCAUCACUGAAUAAGCAAGCAACUGCAAAGGAGAUUGAAGAGAUUUUUGCUCCUUUUGGUCAUGUGGAAGAUGUUUACAUUAUGAAAGAUGGCAUGAGGCAGAGCCGAGGCUGUGGCUUUGUCAAAUUCUCAUCAAAAGAACCUGCACUUGCAGCCAUGAAUUCUCUUAGUGGGACUUACAUAAUGAGGGGGUGCGAGCAACCAUUAAUAGUUCGAUUUGCUGAUCCGAAGAGGCCUAGACCUGGAGAAUCAAGGGGUGGCCCUGCAUUCGGAGGUCCUGGUGUCAGUUCUCGAUCUGAUGCAGCACUAGUUAUCAGGCCGACUGCCAAUCUUGACGAGCAAAUAGGCCGACACAUGCCUCCUGACAGUUGGCGCCCUUCAAGCCCAAGCUCAAUGGCUCCUCAUCAGUUUAAUAACUUUGGGUCUGACAAUUCUAUGGGCCUGAUGGGUGGCCCUGUUACAUCAGCAGCAGAUAAUGUUACUUUUCGGCCUCAGAUGUUUCAUGGGAAUGGUUCUUUGUCAAGUCAGACAGCUGUGCCGACAUCAUCUCAUAUGGGCAUAAAUCCUUCCUUGUCACAAGGGCAUCAUCUAGGUGGGCCACAGAUCUCGCCCUUGCAAAAGCCAACUGGCCCACCGCAGAAUUUCCCUGUACAGUUGCAGAAUGCUCAGCAAGGGCAGCUUCAUGCCUCACAACCCUUGGGGCCUGGUUCUUUUGGCCAGAAUAUACCAACUAUGCAAUUACCUGGCCAGCUCCCUGUGUCACAACCGUUGACGCAGCAAAAUGCUUCUGCAGGCGCUCUACAGGCGCCUUCAGCUGUACAGUCCAAUCCCAUGCAAGCUGUUCCUGGACAACAGCAACUUCCUUCCAAUGUAACACCGCAAAUGCUGCAGCAGCCAGUCCAGCAGAUGCUGUCACAAGCACCACAGUUGCUACUCCAACAGCAGCAGGCAGCUAUACAGUCUAGUUAUCAAUCUUCACAGCAGACGAUUUUUCAGCUUCAGCAACAGCUGCAGCUACUGCAGCAGCAGCAGCAGCAGCAGCAGCACCAGCAGCAACCUAACUUAAAUCAGCAGCCACAUACGCAAGUUCCUAAGCAACAGGGACAGCCGGUGCAAUCUAAUACCCCUGGUGCUCCGGCUGCCAUGAUGACGACAAAAUUAAAUGCAAUUCCACAGCAGGUCAAUUCGCCUGCAGUUUCUUUAACUUGCAAUUGGACUGAACAUACCUCACCUGAAGGUUUUAAAUAUUACUACAAUAGCAUAACUCGAGAGAGUAAGUGGGAGAAGCCUGAAGAAUAUGUACUGUAUGAGCAGCAGCAGCAGCACCAGAAACUUAUUUUACUUCAACAGCACCAACAAAAGCUUGUUGCACAGCAACUUCAGUCACCUCCUCAGGCUCAAACAAUUCCGCCUAUGCAAUCUAUGCAACACCAUCCCCAGUCACAGCAAGGACAUAACCAAAUGCAGAUGAAACAGCAGGAUUUGAAUUAUAAUCAGUUACAGGCAACUGGCGCGAUUGACCCCAGUAGGAUUCAGCAGGGAAUUCAAGCUGCUCAAGAGCGUUCUUGGAAAAGUUGA